rnacentral:rRNA from 1 species
UAUCAGAUAGUUGGUGGGGAACGGCUUACCAAGUCAACGACGAGUAGCUGGCUUGAGAAGGUGGUCAGCCAGAGGGGGAUGAGACACGGCCCCCACUCCUACGGGAGGCAGCAAUCAGGAAUAGUCGGCAAUGGACGAAAGUCUGACCGCGCGACACCGCGUGUAGGAAUAAGCUCUAACGAGCGUAAACUACUGUGAUAGAGGAAAAAAAGCCCGAUAAGCGGGCCUUGAUGGUACUCUAUAAGAAAGGGGCCGCUAACUGCGUGCCAGAAGCGUCGGUAAUACGUGGGCCCCAAACAUUAUCCGGUUUUACUGGGUGUAAAAAGUAGUGUAGGUGUCUUUCUAAGUUUUGUUUCAAAUACUGCGGCUCAACCGUAGAAAGGGGCAAAAUACUGGUUUGAUAGAGUUUGCUUUAGAGAAACUGGAACUCAGGGAGGAGUAGUGAAAUGCGUUGAUACCCUGGGGAACACCAGUGGCGAAGGCGAGUUUCUGAAAGCAGACUGACACUGAGACACGAAAGCUAGGGGAGCGAAGCAGAUUAGAGACCUGCGUAGUCCUAGCCCUAAACGUAUGCUUGCUAGCCGCAUUUUUCCCCUUUGGGGAGAGGUGUAGCGAAGGUAACCCGUUAAGCAAGCCACCUGGGGAGUACGGCCGCAAGGUUGAAACUCAAAGGAAUUGGCGGGGAGGCACACAACCAGUGGAACAUGUGGUUCAAUUCGAAACAAACCGAAGAACCUCACCAGGGUUUGACAUGCUAUCGUACAUUCUGCUAGAAAUAGUGGGAAAUCCGCAAGGAUGAUAGCACAGGUGCUGCAUGGCUGUCGUCAGCUCGUUCCGUGAGGAGUACCCUUAAGUGGGACAACGAGCGCAACCCUUAUCUUGUGUUAUAUUUGUCACAAGAGACGGUCCCGACUUAGUCGGGAAGGAAGGCGGGGCAGACGUCAAGUCAGCAUGGUCCUUAUGCCCUGGGCUACACACAUGUUACAAUGGAUAAGAACAACGGGUUUUGCCAAGAAGUAAUUCUGAGCAAAUCCCUGAAAUUUAUCCUCAGUGGGGAUUGAGGUCUGCAACUCGACUUCAUGAACACGGAAUUGGUAGUAAUCGCGAAUCAGUCAUGUCGCGGGAAGACGUUCUUGCCU